rnacentral:rRNA from 1 species
GAUGAACGCUGGCGGUAUGCUUAACACAUGCAAGUCGAACGGUAACAGGCCUUCGGGCGCUGACGAGUGGCGGACGGGUGAGUAACGCGUAGGAAUCUGCCUCAUAGUGGGGGACAACGUGGGGAAACUCACGCUAAUACCGCAUACGCCCUACGGGGGAAAGCGGGGGAUCUUCGGACCUCGCGCUAUGAGAUGAGCCUGCGUUAGAUUAGCUAGUUGGUAGGGUAAAGGCCUACCAAGGCGACGAUCUAUAGCUGGUCUGAGAGGACGAUCAGCCACACUGGACUGAGACACGGCCCAGACUCCUACGGGAGGCAGCAGUGGGGAAUAUUGGACAAUGGGCGCAAGCCUGAUCCAGCAAUACCGCGUGUGUGAAGAAGGCCUAGGUUGUAAGCACUUCAAUUGGAGGAAA